UUUAUUGAGAGUUUGAUCUUGGCUCAGGACGAACGCUGGCGGCGUGCCUAAUACAUGCAAGUCGAGCGCGGGAAGCUUGUCUGAUCCCUUCGGGGUGAAGCAAGUGGAACGAGCGGCGGACGGGUGAGUAACACGUGGGCAACCUGCCUGUAAGACUGGGAUAACUCCGGGAAACCGGGGCUAAUACCGGAUAAUACUUUUCUUCGCAUGAAGGAAAGUUGAAAGAUGGCCUUUGGCUAUCACUUACAGAUGGGCCCGCGGCGCAUUAGCUAGUUGGUGAGGUAAGAGCUCACCAAGGCAACGAUGCGUAGCCGACCUGAGAGGGUGAUCGGCCACACUGGGACUGAGACACGGCCCAGACUCCUACGGGAGGCAGCAGUAGGGAAUCUUCCGCAAUGGACGAAAGUCUGACGGAGCAACGCCGCGUGAACGAAGAAGGUUUUCGGAUCGUAAAGUUCUGUUGUUAGGGAAGAACAAGUACCGUUCAAAUAGGGCGGUACCUUGACGGUACCUAUCGAGGAAGCCCCGGCUAACUACGUGCCAGCAGCCGCGGUAAUACGUAGGGGGCAAGCGUUGUCCGGAAUUAUUGGGCGUAAAGCGCGCGUAGGCGGUUUCUUAAGUCUGAUGUGAAAUCUUGCGGCUCAACCGCAAGCGGUCAUUGGAAACUGGGGAACUUGAGUGCAGAAGAGGAGAGCGGAAUUCCACGUGUAGCGGUGAAAUGCGUAGAUAUGUGGAGGAACACCAGUGGCGAAGGCGGCUCUCUGGUCUGUAACUGACGCUGAGGUGCGAAAGCGUGGGGAGCGAACAGGAUUAGAUACCCUGGUAGUCCACGCCGUAAACGAUGAGUGCUAGGUGUUAGGGGGUUUCCGCCCCUUAGUGCUGCAGUUAACGCAAUAAGCACUCCGCCUGGGGAGUACGGCCGCAAGGCUGAAACUCAAAAGAAUUGACGGGGGCCCGCACAAGCGGUGGAGCAUGUGGUUUAAUUCGAAGCAACGCGAAGAACCUUACCAGGUCUUGACAUCUUCGGAUGUCCCUAGAGAUAGGGAGUUCCCUUCGGGGACCGAAUGACAGGUGGUGCAUGGUUGUCGUCAGCUCGUGUCGUGAGAUGUUGGGUUAAGUCCCGCAACGAGCGCAACCCUUGAUCUUAGUUGCCAGCAUUAAGUUGGGCACUCUAAGGUGACUGCCGGUGACAAACCGGAGGAAGGUGGGGAUGACGUCAAAUCAUCAUGCCCCUUAUGACCUGGGCUACACACGUGCUACAAUGGAUGGAACAAAGGGCAGCGAAGCGGCAACGCAUUAGCAAAUCCCAUAAAUCCAUUCUCAGUUCGGAUUGCAGGCUGCAACUCGCCUGUAUGAAGCCGGAAUCGCUAGUAAUCGUGGAUCAGCAUGCCACGGUGAAUACGUUCCCGGGCCUUGUACACACCGCCCGUCACACCACGAGAGUUGGCAACACCCGAAGUCGGUGGGGUAACCUUUGGAGCCAGCCGCCGAAGGUGGGGCCAAUGAUUGGGGUGAAGUCGUAACAAGGUAGCCGUAUCGGAAGGUGCGGCUGGAUCACCUCCUUUCUA
rnacentral:rRNA from 1 species